AGUGAACGCUGGCGGUAGGCCUAACACAUGCAAGUCGAACGGCAGCACAGUAAGAGCUUGCUCUUACGGGUGGCGAGUGGCGGACGGGUGAGGAAUACAUCGGAAUCUACUUUUUCGUGGGGGAUAACGUAGGGAAACUUACGCUAAUACCGCAUACGACCUACGGGUGAAAGCAGGGGAUCUUCGGACCUUGCGCGAUUGAAUGAGCCGAUGUCGGAUUAGCUAGUUGGCGGGGUAAAGGCCCACCAAGGCGACGAUCCGUAGCUGUCUGAGAGGAUGAUCAGCCACACUGGAACUGAGACACGGUCCAGACUCCUACGGGAGGCAGCAGUGGGGAAUAUUGGACAAUGGGCGCAAGCCUGAUCCAGCCAUACCGCGUGGGUGAAGAAGGCCUUCGGGUUGUAAAGCCCUUUUGUUGGGAAAGAAAAGCAGCAGGUUAAUACCCCGCUGUUCUGACGGUACCCAAAGAAUAAGCACCGGCUAACUUCGUG
rnacentral:rRNA from 1 species